rnacentral:rRNA from 1 species
CGCGUAGGUGGUAGUGUAAGUCUGGGGUGGAAUCCCAGGGCUCAACCCUGGAACUGCCUUGGAAACUGCAUUACUUGAGUCAGUGAGGGGAGGGUAGAAUUCCUGGUGUAGCGGUGAAAUGCGUAGAUAUCAGGAGGAAGGCCUGUGGCGAAGGCGGUCCUCUGGCGCUGGACUGACACUGAGGCGCGAAAGCGUGGGGAGCAAACAGGAUUAGAUACCCUGGUAGUCCACGCCCUAAACGGUGGGCACUAGGUGUAGGGCUCGUAAGGGUUCUGUGCCGAAGGGAAACCAUUAAGUGCCCCGCCUGGGGAGUACGGCCGCAAGGUUGAA